UCCCUAGUGGCUCAGAUGGUAAAGAAUCUGCCUGCAAUGCAGGAGACCCAGGUUCAAUCCCUGGGUCGAGAG
rnacentral:tRNA from 1 species